GACGAACGCUGGCGGCGUGCUUAACACAUGCAAGUCGAACGGAAAGGCCCUGCUUUUGUGGGGUGCUCGAGUGGCGAACGGGUGAGUAACACGUGAGUAACCUGCCCUUGACUUUGGGAUAACUUCAGGAAACUGGGGCUAAUACCGGAUAGGAGCUCCUGCUGCAUGGUGGGGGUUGGAAAGUUUCGGCGGUUGGGGAUGGACUCGCGGCUUAUCCGCUUGUUGGUGGGGUAGUGGCUUACCAAGGCUUUGACGGGUAGCCGGCCUGAGAGGGUGACCGGCCACAUUGGGACUGAGAUACGGACCAGACGCCUACGGGAGGCAGCAGUGGGGAAUAUUGCACAAUGGGCGGAAGCCUGAUGCAGCAACGCCGCGUGCGGGAUGACGGCCUUCGGGUUGUAAACCGCUUUCGCCUGUGACGAAGCGUGAGUGACGGUAAUGGGUAAAGAAGCACCGGCUAACUACGUG
rnacentral:rRNA from 1 species